rnacentral:rRNA from 1 species
GAUGAACGCUAGCGGCAGGCCUAAUACAUGCAAGUCGAACGGUGAUAGUGAUAUCAUAGUGGCGCACGGGUGCGUAACACGUAUGCAACCUACCUUAUACUUAGGGAUAGCCUUUGGAAAGGGAGAUUAAUACCUAAUAGUACAUUUGACUGGCAUCGGUUAACUGUUAAAGAUUUAUUGGUAUAAGAUGGGCAUGCGUCCAAUUAGUUAGUUGGUGAGGUAAUGGCUCACCAAGACGAUGAUUGGUAGGGGAACUGAGAGGUUAAUCCCCCACACUGGCACUGAGAUACGGGCCAGACUCCUACGGGAGGCAGCAGUAGGGAAUAUUGGGCAAUGGAGGGAACUCUGACCCAGCCAUGCCGCGUGCAGGAUGAAGGCGUUAUGCGUUGUAAACUGCUUUUAUAUAGGAAGAAAUAGUCCUUGCGAGGAAAGUUGACGGUACUAUAUGAAUAAGCACCGGCUAACUCCGUGCCAGCCGCCGCCGUAAUAC